UCCGCCAUAGCUCAGUUGGUAGUAGCGCAUGACUGUUAAUCAUGAUGUCGUAGGUUCGAUUCCUACUGGCGGAG
rnacentral:tRNA from 1 species